rnacentral:rRNA from 1 species
UACGUAGGGUGCGAGCGUUGUCCGGAAUUAUUGGGCGUAAAGGGCUCGUAGGCGGUUUGUCGCGUCGGGAGUGAAAACACCGGGCUUAACUCGGUGCUUGCUUCCGAUACGGGCAGACUAGAGGCAUGCAGGGGAGAACGGAAUUCCUGGUGUAGCGGUGAAAUGCGCAGAUAUCAGGAGGAACACCGGUGGCGAAGGCGGUUCUCUGGGCAUGUCCUGACGCUGAGGAGCGAAAGCGUGGGGAGCGAACAGG